rnacentral:rRNA from 1 species
UACGUAGGGGGCUAGCGUUGUCCGGAUUUAUUGGGCGUAAAGAGCGUGUAGGCGGCCAGGUAGGUCUGGUGUGAAAACUCGAGGCUUAACCUCGAGAUGUCAUCGGAAACCAUCUGGCUAGAGUCCGGAAGAGGAGAGUGGAAUUCCUGGUGUAGCGGUGAAAUGCGCAGAUAUCAGGAAGAACACCAAUGGCGAAAGCAGCUCUCUGGGACGGUACUGACGCUGAGGCACGAAAGCUAGGGGAGCAAACAGG